UGAAAGUAAGGUUCUCCUUUUUCACUUUACAAGUUACCACAGAGCCAGUCAUUUCAAUCUCAACUAUCUCUUUUAAAAACAGAUUCUAAUUCUGUCUUUUGUCUUGUAGAGGAGUCUGAUGGAAUGACAAACGUCAUGAUUGUGAUCCUGGGUGUUCUGACUGUUUUCUUCAUGAUAGCUGUCAUUGUUCUGUCUGUUAAAAACAGGAAACUUCAGAAAGCUGCUAAAGAAGAACUGCAUCCUGAAAGAAACAAGAAUGUGGACUCUGAUGAUCUGAACUCUGCAGCUCUGAGGUUCCUUCCAAACACAACAAGGAACAGGAGG